CAAUUCAGGGACAUUCCCUAGUUUGAAGAUUUGGUUCAAUCACUUGAAUUUCUCUAAACAUCUGAUGUGGAAAUCAUUAUCUUGGUCAAUUCUAGUACUUCCUGGGAUUUCUCAGGCUGCGAAGAAUGACAAAAUUACCUCUCACGGAGCUUCUAUACUUCUCAUUCUGCUGCACUAAAGUGAGGAAGCCUAGAGACCUGCAAACAUUGAUUUCUGAAAAGGCAGAAAAUAUGAUCUAGCAGUUAGAGCAUAAGGCUGAGAAUCAUGAGAUUGGGGUUCUAUUCCUGGCACUGGUACAAAGUUGUUUUGUGACCUUGCUUCUCCUGGAGCGGCAGGCGCUUUCAGCUGUACUGGGAAACUUCAUGGAGGCUGAAGUGGAUUCUGGCCCAGUACCAGGAACACAUCAAGAGCCUGAGACUCCUGUACAACAGGGGAAAAGACUCCAACAGUCGCUCCAGGAGGGAUUGCCAUAUACACUCCUUCUACUACGAGCUUGACUGUGUGCUCAUGAACCUGAAGUGGCUCAAGACCCCCUGCUUAGCCCUACCCGCGUCGUCCCAUGGGAUACCAAUAUGGGCCAGAGCAAGGAGGCAGCGGGGACCGCAGAAGAUGCCCCAGAAGACCCAGAGGAAGAAGAAUAUUUUGUACCUCCCACCCGAAGGACUUGGUUGAGGAAGCCCCUGUGAACAACCUGAGGAGUAUCCCAAACCACAGCAGAAACCAGAAUCCAAGGCUGCGUCUUCCCACUACAUCUUACCAUCCCUUUACAAACAGGAGCUGCACAAAAGGGGAGAGCAUGGAGGUGGAGCAGAUGUUAUGUCCACAAAGGGAAAAAGAACCCUUCAUUUGUCUGAGGCUCAUGACAGCAGUCCUUCUCACUUGGAAGAUUACAGAUAUUGCUACCGUCCCUGUACCUGGUGUCUGGCCUCCCCACACUGAGCAUUGUUGCACAAUCCAGGGGAAGUAGGGGUGAGAGAAGAAUCUCGUCUGGAGGUGGGAUAAAUCCAGUGCAAAUGUCCCUUUGCUGUGGAGAGGUAAGGGGCUUGUGGUGCUGAUCUGAAACUUCAGGGAACCCAAUCAAGUUCCAGUGCUUCUCCCUUUCCCUGUCCAUUUCACCACUGUUAACCAUGAACAGGAGCAGGAUUUUCUGGUGAUGGGGGUAGGACUUUCAUGUUCAUUUCUCCCUUUCCAUGGGAAUGCCAUAUAUACUAGUUGAGAUUGUAGUCAAUUUCCAGUUUAAUUGCCUCCCAGUCCUGUAAGCAUAUUUCAGCAAAUUCCUGGUGUAGCAGAAACUCCAGCUGGGUCUCGAUUACAUUGCAGUGCAAAUGUGCUUGGUCCUUCCUAGCUGACUAAACCCCUCCAUUCAGCAAUAUGUAGGGGGUGAUCAUUUGCAGAAACAUCUGUGAGGCACAAAUUGCUGAAUCUCCCCCACAGGACUCUCUUUUCCAUUCUGGUACUUUGAAAACUACUAUGUUCGUCAAAGGCUGGCCAACAUUUGGAGAAGAAAUGGCAAACUGGUAACAUAGCCCCAGGAAGGAACUGCCACUCCACCCUCUUGAGAUACUAUUGUUUUUUAAAAUUUAAAUUUUUCAUAUGUAUAUCUGACUGUUAGAAGCCUCUGCUCCUUCCCUGGGGGCUGAAAAUGUUGCUUGAGAACCAAGGAUAGUCCAACACCCGUAUUGCUGCAAUGCUGAGGAGCAUCAAUAUUGUGGCCUUCUGGAGCAAAGUUUUGUUAUGUGGGGGGAUUUCUCAGCUUCGUCCAAAGGAGAAAAAAAAUGCUACCCAUGUCUUUGAAUUGGCAGGACCUUUGACUCCUGACGGUGAAACCAUUCUGCCAGGAAGUCUGGAGCAGGACUAUAGAGACAGCAAAGGCAGACAGAGGAGGACCCUGGAGGACCUGCAGUGCUCAUUGGAAUGGACCAGAGGAACCAGGAACAGUUUGAGUUCCUCAGGACACAGGAAUAUUGGGUUCUUCAGCAGGGAGAGACACUGAUAAACCAGUUCCUGGAGAAGGAGGCACGCCACAGGGAAUGGGAGCAUGUCCUAAUGGAGCAGCUCAUAGAACUGGUGGCCAAAUGAGCUCAGAAUCUGUCUGCUGCCAUGGCCACUGCACCUCUUCAGGAGCUAGCACCAUAUCUUCCUCCUCCAGCUGCCACCCAGGGUGAUGAGGUGGAGGACCCAACCCCCCAGAGUGGCUGGCAGAAGCUUGCAGGACUCCCAGGACAACACCAUCAACUGAAGCCCACCAAGUGAAACCCUCAAACCCUGUGCAGGAGACAUCCCUGGUUGUCCCCAAGAACAAUUUUCCACAGUGGUUCUUCUCCCCUACCCCCCAGUCAGGGGAAGGGCAAGGAGGAGGGUGCAGACCUUGACAUUUGGCCCUGGGUCAGGGAUUCAAUCCCUUUAUGUUUUGUUAGUUUGUUUCCUUUUUAAAAAACAUCAGUUACACAUUCAAUAUACUAGUUUUAAUAAAUGUUAA